rnacentral:ncRNA from 1 species
GCUUUCAGCCCAGCGUUCAGAGCAACAUCGCUUCUUGAUCCUUCGAUGUCGGCUCUUCUUGUCAUUGUGAAGCAGAAUUCACCAAGCGUGGGAUUGUUCACCCACUAAUAGGGAACGUGAGCCGGGUUUAGACCGUCGUGAGACAGGUU